GUGAGGAAUUUUCCGCAAUGGGCGAAAGCCUGACGGAGCAAUGCCGCGUGAAGGAUGAAGACCUAUGGGUUGUAAACUUCUUUUCUCAGAAAAGAAUUAUGACGGUAUCUGAGGAAUAAGCAUCGGCUAACUCUGUGCCAGCAGCCGCGGUAAGACAGAGGAUGCAAGCGUUAUCCGGAAUGAUUGGGCGUAAAGCGUCUGUAGGUUGUUUAAAAAGUAUUCUGUCAAAGAUUAGGGCUUAACCCUAGAUAGGCAGAAUAAACUUUUAAGCUAGAGUUUGGUAGAGGCAGAGGGAAUUCCCGGUGGAGCGGUGAAAUGCGUAGAUAUCGGGAGGAACACCAAAGGCGAAGGCACUCUGCUGGGCCAAUACUAACACUGAGAGACGAAAGCGAGGGGAGCAAAUGGGAUUAGAUACCCUGGUAGUCC
rnacentral:rRNA from 1 species